rnacentral:sRNA from 1 species
UGGUUACGUUGUACUUAGUAAAUUAGGU